rnacentral:rRNA from 1 species
AGAGUUUGAUCCUGGCUCAGAGCGAACGCUGGCGGCAGGCCUAACACAUGCAAGUCGAGCGGUCGUAGCAAUACGGCAGCGGCAGACGGGAGAGUAACACGUGGGAACGUGCCCUUUGGUUCGGAACAACACAGGGAAACUUGUGCUAAUACCGGAUAAGCCCUUACGGGGAAAGAUUUAUCGCCAAAGGAUCGGCCCGCGUCUGAUUAGCUAGUUGGUGGGGUAACGGCCCACCAAGGCGACGAUCAGUAGCUGGUCUGAGAGGAUGAUCAGCCUCACUGGGACUGAGACACGGCCCAGACUCCUACGGGAGACAGCAGUGGGGAAUAUUGGACAAUGGGCGCAAGCCUGAUCCAGCCAUGCCGCGUGGAUGAUGAAGGCCCUAGGGUUGUAAAGUCCUUUCGGCGGGGAAGAUAAUGACGGUACCCGCAGAAGAAGCCCCGGCUAACUUCGUGCCAGCCGCCGCGGUAAUUC